GACGAACGCUGGCGGCGUGCCUAACACAUGCAAGUCGAGCGGAAGUACCGAAUAGUUUACUAAGAGGUACUUUAGCGGCGGACGGGUGAGUAACACGUGGGCAACCUGCCUCGAAGAGGGGGAUAACACCGAGAAAUCGGUGCUAAUACCGCAUAACAUACAGAUAUCGCAUGAUGACUGUAUCAAAGGAGAAAUCCGCUUUGAGAUGGGCCCGCGGCUGAUUAGCUAGUUGGUAAGGUAAUGGCUUACCAAGGCGACGAUCAGUAGCCGACCUGAGAGGGUGACCGGCCACACUGGAACUGAGACACGGUCCAGACUCCUACGGGAGGCAGCAGUGGGGAAUAUUGCGCAAUGGGGGAAACCCUGACGCAGCAACGCCGCGUGGAGGAAGAAGGUCUUCGGAUUGUAAACUCCUGUCUUCUGGGACGAUAAUGACGGUACCAGAGGAGGAAGCCACGGCUAACUACGUG
rnacentral:rRNA from 1 species